UUCAACGCCCUUUCUUGCUGCAAAUAUUUGGGUUUUUAGGGUUCUUACAAUUUCUUGAUUUUGUAUUCAUUGAUUGAAGAAUCACGAUGUUAUUAUCGCAUCGGCGUCGUAGCCCAGGCUAUGGGGGAAUUCUUGGUCAGGUGAUUGUUGCCUGUCAUCAGUCACUUGCAAGUAAGUGUUUGUGGACAUAUGUCCACUUUGGAAUAAAAGAAAUAAAAUUUGGGUUUUGCUGACUCCUACUUAAGCAAAUAACAAAUACAUCACUCUUCAAAUACACCAGCUUUUGAUGUUUUUUUUUGCAUGGAAAGCAAGUGCAAAUGGAAAUCAUCUGUAGGAGCUAACUUUUGGACCUUCAGAUUACAGUACAAAAGUAUAUUGAAUUUCCGUGUGAUGACUCAGUCAUCCGGGGAAAAUAUGUGCUUGAGGUGGUGACAUCUGGCGGUUAAUGUCUCAACAAUCAGUGCUUUUCAAGAAGCAAUUCAUCAUACCUCGAUCGAAUCAGAGGCUAGAGAAAUUCUUUGGUUCAUGGAGCAUCUAGCAUGGGAGGAAGUGUUGCAGCAUCCGCAGAAGAUUGGCGAAAGGCUCUUGACAAGGUGGUUCCCGCCGUCAUAGUUCUCCGGACCAAUGCUUGCCAAGCAUUCAACACCGAGGCUGCUGGUGCAAGUUAUGCUACGGGCUUCGCCGAUUUUCUCUAUGGUGCAUAUAUAAUACCUGCAAUAUAAGAAGGAAGAAGCAAAGAGAAAGGAGGAACCCCGAUAAUAUGUAUCUCAAUUUUAUACAGACAUCCUGUGGCCAUAACUUACGUUUGAAGUGCUUCCAAAAAUGGAUUGGACAAGGCAAGGAUACAAGAGUCAAAUGCCGCAGUCAAAUUAGUCGCCAAAUGAUUAAUCAAUCAACCACAAAUAGACUCGGCACUGGUGACUGCAUAAAAGUGAUGCUUUUACAAGUCCUCAAGUAGCAUGUCCUCAGGUGAAUCAAGAAGAUCACCCUGACAACCCGUUUAUUAGGGAAGGAGCAGCUAUAUAAAAGAGCUGGAAUGGAUAUUGCAUCAAGCGGGAGGAUAUUUGUGACACUGAGCCCCAAUAUUUUAACAGAAAAAUUUAAUUCUUGGAUCCACCCUGGUAUACUGGUGAAUCAAGUAGAUCACCCUGAUAACCGUUUAUUAGGGCAGGAGGGGCUAUAUAAAAGAGCUGGAAUGGUUAAUGCAUCAAGCGGGAGGAUAUUUGUGACCAUCCCUUCGGAUCAUUUCGGGCCAAUAUUGGUGGAGAAUGAUCUGGAGAGAAAUCAAGGUGUUUUUGUUGGAGAAUUGUGGACACAUCACUUGAAUUGCAGGAAAUGGGGUGUGCAUUGGCCCCAUGUUACUGGAAUUGCAGGACACGCAAUCUAUGGUGCUCUCAGGUGGUUAUGAAGAUGAUGAGGAUCAUGGAGAAUGGAUUCUCUACAGAGGAAAGCAUCCUGUGGCCAUAACCUACAUUUGAAGUUCUUCCAAAAAUGGAUUGGACAAGGCAAGGAUACAAGAGUCAAAUGCCGCAGUCAAAUUAGUCGCCAAAUGAUUAAUCAAUCAACCACAAAUAGACUCGGCACUGGUGACUGCAUAAAAGUAUGCUCCUACAAGGCCUCAAGUGGCAUGUCCUCAGGUGAAUCAAGAAGAUCACCCUGACAACCCGUUUAUUAGGGAAGGAGCAGCUAUAUAAAAGAGCUGGAAUGCAUAAUGCAUCAAGCGGGAGGAUAUUUGUGACACUGAGCCCCAAUAUUUUAACAGAAAAAUUUAAUUCUUGGAUCCACCCUUGUAUAUUGGCGAAUCAAAUAGAUCACCCUGAUAACCCGUUUAUUAGGGAAGGAGGGGCUAUAUAAAAGAGCUGGAAUGGUUAAUGCAUCAAGCGGGAGGAUAUUUGUGACCAUCCCUUCGGAUCAUUUCGGGCCAAUAUUGGUGGAGAAUGAUCUGGAGAGAAAUCAAGGUGUUUUUGUUGGAGAAUUGUGGACACAUCACUUGAAUUGCAGGAAAUGGGGUGUGCAUUGGCCCCAUGUUACUGGAAUUGCAGGACACGCAAUCUAUGGUGCUCUCAGGUGGUUAUGAAGAUCAUGAGGAUCAUGGAGAAUGGUUUCUCUACAGAGGAAAGUACGUGUUAAUUAUCCCUUCAUAGAUGAAUUUUCAAUAUUUCUGGUUAGUUUUGAAGGUUCUGGAAUAAUGUCUUUGCUCAGGCAUGUCAUCAGGUACUUGCAACUUGCAAGUAAGUGCUUGUGGACAUUUUGAUUUUUGAGGUGUUUUUGCAUGGAAAGCAAGUGAAAAUGGAAAUCAUCUGCAGGAACAAGCUUUUGGACCUUAAAAUUGCAGUACUAAGCAUAUAGAAUUUUUGUAUGAUGACUUAGUUACACGAUGGCUCAACAAUCGGUGCUGCUCAAGAAGCAAUUCACAGUAUCACCGAUCAAGCAAUACCAUAACCGAACCAGAGGCUAGGGAAAUUCUUGGUUCACGGAGCCUUCGCCAUUGCAUCCUGCUGUUUUUGGACUGGUAUUGGAGUGCCUUGCUCAUGAAUUCGUCUCUUUAUCAAUUUUUUCGAUGAGGUAAUGUUACCUCAUUUAAGGGAAAUGCAAAGACUUGGGAGUUUUCAUCUUCAAAUGAAGGUUUACAAAAGCA